rnacentral:misc_RNA from 1 species
AAGUCGUAACAAGGUUUCCGUAGGUGAACCUGCGGAAGGAUCAUUGACAUAUAUAUUCAUAUAUACACUUGUGAAAAUCCAAAGACAGGUCAUUAUAAUAUAUUAUUAUAUAAACUCUAAAGCUCAUAUAUAUAUGCUUUAACAACACAUUAACACUUAAUACAACUUUUAACGGUGGAUCUCUUGGCUCCU